rnacentral:rRNA from 1 species
UGUUGCGUUAGUACGGCGAGUGAGCGGCAAAAGCUCAAAUUUGAAAUCUGGUACCUUCGGUGCCCGAGUUGUAAUUUGGAGAGGGCAACUUUGGGGCCGUUCCUUGUCUAUGUUCCUUGGAACAGGACGUCAUAGAGGGUGAGAAUCCCGUGUGGCGAGGAGUGCGGUUCUUUGUAAAGUGCCUUCGAAGAGUCGAGUUGUUUGGGAAUGCAGCUCUAAGUGGGUGGUAAAUUCCAUCUAAAGCUAAAUAUUGGCGAGAGACCGAUAGCGAACAAGUACAGUGAUGGAAAGAUGAAAAGAACUUUGAAAAGAGAGUGAAAAAGUACGUGAAAUUGUUGAAAGGGAAGGGCAUUUGAUCAGACAUGGUGUUUUGUGCCCUCUGCUCCUUGUGGGUAGGGGAAUCUCGCAUUUCACUGGGCCAGCAUCAGUUUUGGUGGCAGGAUAAAUCCAUAGGAAUGUAGCUUGCCUCGGUAAGUAUUAUAGCCUGUGGGAAUACUGCCAGCUGGGACUGAGGACUGCGACGUAAGUCAAGGAUGCUGGCAUAAUGGUUAUAUGCCGCCCGUCUUGAACCACGGACCAAA